UGUAUAAUGGGUCAGCGACUUAUAUUCUGUAGCAAGGUUAACCGAAUAGGGGAGCCGAAGGGAAACCGAGUCUUAACUGGGCGUUAAGUUGCAGGGUAUAGACCCGAAACCCGGUGAUCUAGCCAUGGGCAGGUUGAAGGUUGGGUAACACUAACUGGAGGACCGAACCGACUAAUGUUGAAAAAUUAGCGGAUGACUUGUGGCUGGGGGUGAAAGGCCAAUCAAACCGGGAGAUAGCUGGUUCUCCCCGAAAGCUAUUUAGGUAGCGCCUCGUGAAUUCAUCUCCGGGGGUAGAGCACUGUUUCGGCAAGGGGGUCAUCCCGACUUACCAACCCGAUGCAAACUGCGAAUACCGGAGAAUGUUAUCACGGGAGACACACGGCGGGUGCUAACGUCCGUCGUGAAGAGGGAAACAACCCAGACCGCC
rnacentral:rRNA from 1 species